rnacentral:misc_RNA from 1 species
UUUGAAUCUCCUCCUGAGUCUGACGCUUUGUGAGCUUGUACCUAACAGAAGGCUCUGCAUCAUUUAUUGAUAUUUCUCUUGCUAUCAACUCAUCUUGAAUCUUUGACUGGGUUAAGGUUGCACAGUUGACUGAAGAAACUUGUGCCAGCGCCGCCACACUGGAGACAGCAACCCCACCAAGGGGCGUCAGGUUGUAUGAUGGGAGAACCCCUGGAACAGCAGCACUAGUAGAAAGAAAGGACUCCGCAGGUUGAUCCCACUUUCUUUUCUUUCUUGGCUUUGUUUGAGAAGAGGAAUCGAUAUUGGGAAAUGAGACAGGUUCGUCGGAG